rnacentral:tRNA from 1 species
GGGGAUGUGGCUUGGUGGUAGAGCACUUGCCUAUCCUGCAGGAGGCCCUGGGUUUGAGCCCCAGCACCACAA